rnacentral:rRNA from 1 species
GGGGGGAAAUUAAUAAAUUAUAUUUAAUAAAAAAAAUUUUAAUAUUGGGGGAUGUUAAAGUAUUUUUUUAGAAAUAAUAUAAUUAUUUAUAGUAAAAUAGUAUUGAUAAAGAAAUUUGAAAUAAUUUUGAAAAUGAAUUAAUUAUAAAGUAAAUUUAAAUUAUUGUAUCUUGUGUAUCAGAGUUUAUUAAAAAAUAUUUAUUAAUUAAAAAAAUCUCGAAUUUAAAAGAGUUAAUUAAUUAAAAAAUUUAAUGUUGAAUAAUUAUUUUAAAUAAUUAAUUUGAAAUGAAAUGUUAAUCGUUUUUAAAUAUAUCUAGUUUUUUUAGAAAAAAAUUUAAUUUUAAAUUUAAAAUAUUUUUUAAUUUUUUUUUUAAUUAAAAAAUUUUAAAAUUAAAUAUAUUAAGGGAUAAGCUUUAAUUUAAAAAUUUAUAUAUAUAUAUAUAUAUAUAUAUAUAUAUAUAUAUAUAUAUAUAUAUAUAUAUGUAAAUAUAAAUUAAAAUUUUUAAAAUUUAUAUUGUUUAUAAAAUAAAAUUUGUUAUAAAAAAUUUUAUUAAAAAUAAAAUUUAAAAUUAUAUUUAAAUUUUUAUAAAAUCAAAAUUUUUAAUUAUAGAAAAUUAGAAAUAAUGAUAAAAUUAGUAUAUUAAAUUAAUAUAAAAUAAAUUUAAAUUAAAAUUAAUUUAAAGGAAUUCGGCAAAUAUUCAUAUUCACUUGUUUAUCAAAAACAUGUCUUUUUGGGGAAUAAUUUAAAGUCUAAUCUGCCCACUGAUAUAAAAUUAAAGGGCUGCAGUAUAUUGACUGUACAAAGGUAGCAUAAUAAAUAGUCUUUUAAUUGAAGACUUGUAUGAAAGAUUUAAUGAAAUAUGAACUGUCUCUAUAUUAAAAAUUGAAAUUAAUUUUUUUAUUAAAAAGUUAAAAUAAUUUAAAAAGACGAGAAGACCCUAUAGAGUUUUAUAAUUAUAUUUUUUAAUAUUUUAUAUAUAAUAAUAAAUAUAAAUAAAUAAAAUUAUUUUAUUGGGGUGAUAGAAAAAUUAAAAUAACUUUUUUUAAAAAAAAAUUACAUAAAUAAAUGAAUAAAUGAUCCAUAUUUUAUGAUUAAAAGAAAAAAUUACCUUAGGGAUAACAGCGUAAUUUUUUUUUUUAGUACAAAUAAAAAAAAAAGGUUGCGACCUCGAUGUUGGAUUAAGAUAAAAUUUAAAUGCAAAAGUUUAAAAUUUUGAUCUGUUCGAUCAUUAAAAUCUUACAUGAUCUGAGUUCAAACCGGUGUGAGCCAGGUUGGUUUCUAUCUUUUAAUAAAAAAAAUAUUUUAGUACGAAAGGAUCAAAUAUUUUAAAUAAUUUAAUUUUAAGAAUAUUAUUAAUAGUAUUAUAA